rnacentral:lncRNA from 1 species
CAAUACCGUGCCAAAUUUCACCUUGAUCCAACUAAUAGAUCUCCAAAUAUCAAAGAAACCCUAUCCAACCUCAAACUACCAACUUCCAAAACUCUCUUGUGCUAAAAACCAGAUAUCUCUAAACCACGCCAUUAGAUUAUUAUAUAAUUUUGUAUACACUUAGCACAUCCAAUAAUCCAAAAAAUAUCAAAUUUUCAAUUGUAGAUGUUCUACUAAUUGUACAAACUAGCCAAAAUUGUUAGCCCUAAUUAUAUUAUAUAAAACCCAAAUCACCAAUAAAAAUCC